UCCUACCCACCCCUCACCUCCCUUCAAGCGGGCUGACCAUCUACAUUCGCCGUACACACGCACGCAGACUGCACUGACUCGCCCGCCGCAACAGCAGCCAUGGACAUCCCCUCUCACUGCAGCAGCCUGGAGGCGACGGUGCUCCAGCUGAUGGACGACGCCAACGCGCGCCGCGUCGUGCCGGACCCUCGCGCGAUGCGCUACCAGCAGAUAGGCGACGAGAACGUCGCCCUCGAAGGCACCGAGAGCGAGAGGAGCACGCCGAUCUACCGCCAGGCGAAGGUGACGGACGCGAUGCAGCGCCGCCUAGAAAACGAGUGGUACAACGGGCCCAACUUCGUGCAACGCUUCGAGUCCAUGUGCAAGUCGCGUGGCAGCAAGCGCGCGCUGGCCUACCGCCCGAUAAGUCGCGUGUCGCAUCAGCUGGUGAGGGAGCCGGAGAGCGGGCUGGAGCGGCUGUUUGAGGUGACAUUUUACGAUGCGACGCAGUACUUGACGUAUGAUGACGUGUGGACGGUCGUGCAGAACUUUGGCCGCGGCCUGCGCGAGCUCGCACUCACUCCUGACUGCAAGGUCGGCAUGUACCUCGAGACGCGCUGGGAGUGGCUGGCGUCGGCGUACGGCGUGUGGUCGCAGAGCAUGGUGCUCGCCACGGUGUACGCGAACCUCGGCAAGGAGGCGCUCAGCGAGGCCUUCGCGGAGACGAGUUGCGCCGCCAUCGUGACAGUGGGCGAGCGUGUGCCGUCGCUCAUCGCCAUGAUGCGGAGCGGUGCGAUGCCGCACUGCAUCCUGAUCUACCUCGACACGCUGCCGGAGGGCAUCGAUGCGGCAGGCGUGACGCUGAAGGCGUGGGAAGACGUCGUGAAGGACGGGGCUCUCUCGAACUACCCCGUCAACCUGCCGACGAACAACGAUGACGUGUCCCUGAUCAUGUACACGAGCGGCACGACGGGCGGGCCGAAGGGCGUCAUGCACACGUACGGGUCGAUGACCGCGGGCAUCAACGGCAUGGGUGGCCGCCUGAACGAGUUGUGCGGCGGCGUUGAGCCCGAUGAACGCUACUGCUCCUCCCUGCCGCUGGCGCACAUCUUCGAGUUCACGGUCACGAACGUCUUCCUUGCGCGCGGCUGCUGGAUCGGAUUUGGCCACACCCGCACACUGUUGAGCACGUACGCACGUCCACACGGCGACCUCGUCGAGUUCAAGCCAAUCUUCUUGAUUGGUGUGCCGCGCAUCUUCGACUCCUACAAGAAGACGAUGGAGGCGAGCCUGGCACAGCGCGGCGCGCUGGAGCGCCAGAUCUUCGAGCACGCCUUCGCCUCCCGCCUCAAGUACCUCCACGCCGGCAUGGAGACGCCGUUCUGGAACGAGGUGGUCUUCGCCCCGCUGCGCGAGAUGGUGGGCGGCCGCGUGCGCAGCAUGUUCGGAGGCGGUGGCCCGAUCAGUGCGCCAACGCAGAACUUCAUGAACGUCGUCCUUGGCGGGUUCAUCCAGGGCUACGGGCUCACCGAAACCGUCGGCAAUGGGCCGAAGCAGCUUGUCGGCGACCUCGAGUCCGCGUGUGUCGGUCGGCUGGAGAUGGCCUGCGAGAUGAAGCUGGUGGACACGCCAGACUACAAGCACACGGACACACCGGAGCCGCGCGGCGAGGUGUGCCUGCGCGGUCCCAUGCUCUUCAAGGGCUAUUACAAGAAGGAAAGCGUCACCAAGGCCGCCAUCGACGCUGACGGCUGGUUCCACACUGGCGACGUUGGCGCCAUCGCCGACCGCGGUCGGCUGCGCAUCGUCAGCCGCAUCAAGUCGCUGGCGAAGAACGCCCUAGGUGAGUACAUCCCGAUGGAGAACCUGGAGUCCCUGUACGCGCAGGUGAGCCUGUGCGUGCCGAACGGCGUGUGCGUCGUUGUCCACGCUGCCAAGUACUACGUCUGUGCCAUCGCGUGCACGACGGAGAGCAAGGCGAUGGUGUUCGCGCGGCAGCACGACAUCCAGUGUGAGUGGCCGGCGAUUCUGAAGAACCCCGACUUUCAGAAGGCAGCGACGGAGGCGUUCCGCGAGCUCGCCAUAAACGCGGGCCGUGGCAAGCAGGAGAUUGUACGCUACGUCCACGUGGUGGGGGAUCAGUGGACGCCGGAGAACGAUAUGCUGACGGCAGCUGGCAAGCUGAAGCGCCACGCGGUGGCGGAGCGCUACAAGGACCUGAUCUGCUCUCUGUACGUUGACUAGCGGAAGCACGAUCCACGCAGCAGCGUCCCCCCCCCCUCCCCUCUGCAGCUCGCUUGGGGUGCCCUCCUCAUCUCUUCCGUGUUGUGUGCUCUGCGCCGCUCCCACCCGCGUUCUCCUCGUGUCCACGCGUCGGGGGCGGGGGGAGGGGGGGGAAUCUGCGGAUACCGACACACACACACACACACAGGUACAGCGCCGCACCGUGCCGCUCUGCAUAUGCUUUUCGUUGUUGUUUAUUUUGGUUUGUUUUCUCGGCGCUGGGCUCGGAGACGCGUUCCACCAGACGAAGCCGCUUUUCUUCUGCCUCACGGUCCGCCCUUCGUGCGAUACAUCAUCCGCGCGGCCGACUGCGCGCCCGGAUCCCCGUGCCUGCGAGGCGGGGCAGUGGUGCCGCGGUGUGCAUGAUGCACCACGUCGAAGGCACGUGGGCAUGACAUACCCUUUUUGCGUUCUUUACCUUCCUCUUUUCGCCCUUGACGACGGGGUGGGGCGGCGGCGCACAGACACACACACACACGCGCCCACACCUCCGUGCGUGGGGGGGGGGGGUGCCUCAGGCGCCAGGGCGCCCACCCACCCCUCACUCCUCCCUCCGCCGUCCCGGCCCAUGCCGGAACCACCUGUGGUGGCGACCAGGGCCGAGCAUCUGUGACGUCAGGGAGUGCCCCGGCAGAGCGCGAGUUAGGGCUACGGACGUCAGCGGCCAUGUCGUGCAUGGCGUUGCGUCGGGGCCACCCGCGACAGUGAGCGCAGGUUUGCACCGUCCAUAUGAUGGGCAGAGCGUGUCAGCGCGGCUCGAGCGCAUCGCGGCCGGCCCCUCACACUGGCCUACCCGGGGGGGGGAGGGGGCCUGUGAAAGGGUUAUUGAGGGCUGGCGUAGAGUCGGCGUUGGCGUGAUGGGAUGACCUCACGCCUCACGGGUGCGCAACGGGCACCCAGCGAAGACAAGAUUUACGAGCUUAUCCAUCCGUAUACUAACCAACACAUGUUUCUACGUGUAUAUGUACUCUAUGAGGGGAGGGUGGAGGGUGGAAAGAGAGAGAGACAAGGGCCGGAGCGGUGAUGUACAGUGCCUCAGCCCCCUUCACCCUCCUCUUCUUUUUAUCCGAGGCCAGCUGCCUCUCUCCUUUCCUCUGUUGCGGACCUCUGUGUGUGUGUGUGUUUCUAUCUUCUCUCGGACCGCUUAUGCGGUGUUCAUCGACUUUCUUGCGUUAUCGCUGGCGUUCCGCCAGCGCCCACAUUUUUUUUGUUCUAAAACCUCCUCCGGUGAUGCGCGCACGUGUGUGCGUGGGCAUUGCCGUCCUGCUUUCCUGCAUAAAGUGUGUGUGUGUGUGUUUGUGUGCGUGGCAGCCCUCGCGCCCCUCCUCUGCCCAUCAUAGACUACGCAGAGGAGGGGUGCUACGCUCUCUCUCUUUUUGUCUAAGUUUUGGCUUUCCGCUGUUUUCUGGCCGCCCCGCCGCCCCUUUAUUGUGAUGCACAUCAUGCAGCUGUGGCUGUGGUGGUGGUGACGGUGGCGGUGGCGAGCGCCAAUCACGGCAGCGGUGUGAUGCGCACGAGACAUUCUUCAUGCCUUUUCGCGCUGUCUCUUUCGGCGGCACGCGCCUCGCCGAUCUCUCGUCGGACUUUGUGUUGUUGUUGUUAGCGCACAGAUCAGCCACUGUCCGUGUUGUGGUGGCGCCUCCAUGGGGCCUGCGCAAGCCGUCCCGCUCGCCCGCCUGCUUGCUUUUCGGUAGAUCAUGGUGUUGCUUAGUAAGCACAACCCUUUCCGCGCCCGUGUACAUAUAUAUAUGGGGGAGGGGGGGUCGGGCGGGCAUGAUUGGUGAGGCCCUCUGCACGCAUACCUGUGCCUGAUGCGGCCUGCCUGCUUGCCUGCUCUCUCUCUCUCUCAGGCGCGCGCCCGCUUUUUUCUUUUCGGUGCGGCUGUCGUAAUGAGGCGGGUGGGGCGCCGCUCAGGUGCGUUUUUGGCGGCUGGUCGUGGCAGCCGCGGGCAGUAGCUAACGCGCUGAGGCACGCAAAACCCGCGCGACGCCGUCCAUCCAUCCACCACACGAAACUGAAGCAAAGGCGCUCAAAAUCGAACGGGUGAAGGGGGAGAAGGGCGCAGACAGCCAGGCGCCAGUGGGCGCUGCAGGGCAAUGAUGGAGAAGCAGAGGAGAGCGGUGGAGGUAACGCGACAGGAAGGAGGGAAAGGAAGGGGCACACAACACGCCUCCGCUCGGCGUCGCUGCACCACGCCCUGGCGCUCCGCUCGACUCGCCGCGCCCCUCCCCCACCCCUCUCCUCCCGCGCCAGUGCAUCGCCUCGACAAGAGAGGAGGGGGAGGGGGGCGGGACAUCGUUGGACAACGGAGGCAAAAAUGAAGCAUGCGCGGCGUUCAUUGGCAAGGGGUGUCGUGCGGAGGCUGACGGAUGCUGGCCCGUGUGCGCGUGUCUCGUGGUGGCAGUGGCAAGCGUGAUUGCUGCUGAGCGGAAGGGGUGGCAAAAUGCGCCUUUCCCCCCCCCCCGGGUGAGUCGCGGCACGUGAUGGCGGACCACGUAGGGACCUGUGAGCCUCCUCGAUGGUGCUGCCACAAGCGCGUUGGUGGCGCAUACGUGGCCCAGACAAGCUGCACAGCACCACCUCCUGCUUCGACAGCAAGCACCCUCCUCUCGAGCCACAGACGCACAUGCGUGCUUGACGGGUGCUCUGCCCUCCUCUGUUGCCGUUGCUGCGGUUCAUCGCGUUCGGGUAUUCAUCUCUCUCCGCCUGCGCCUGCCUUCCCACCUCCACUCCUACCCUCAG
rnacentral:misc_RNA from 1 species